UACAGAGGUCCCGAGCGUUGUUCGGAUUCAUUGGGCGUAAAGGGCGCGUAGGCGGCUGCGCAAGUCUCGGGUGAAAUCCCUCGGCUCAACCGAGGAACUGCCCUGGAAACUGCGCGGCUCGAGGCCGGGAGAGGAUGGUGGAAUUCCCAGUGUAGCGGUGAAAUGCGUAGAUAUUGGGAGGAACACCGGUGGCGAAGGCGGCCAUCUGGACCGGUCCUGACGCUGAGGCGCGAAAGCGUGGGGAGCAAACAGG
rnacentral:rRNA from 1 species